rnacentral:rRNA from 1 species
UAUCAGUAUCCUGAGUAGGGCGGGACACGUGAAAUCCCGUUUGAAUCCGCGAGGACCAUCUCGCAAGGCUAAAUACUAACCAGUGACCGAUAGUGAACCAGUACCGUGAGGGAAAGGUGAAAAGAACCCCGGGAGGGGAGUGAAAGAGAACCUGAAACCGUGUGCCUACAAGUAGUCAGAGCCCGUUAACGGGUAAUGGCGUGCCUUUUGUAGAAUGAACCGGCGAGUUGCGUUAGUCAGCAAGGUUAAGUCAGAAAAGACGGAGCCGUAGCGAAAGCGAGUCUGAAGAGGGCGA